UACGUGAGGUGCAAACGUUACCCGGAAUUAUUGGGCGUAAAGCGUGCGUAGGCGGUGAUGUAAGACAGGUGUGAAAUCCCCGGGCUUAACCUGGGAACUGCAUUUGUGACUGCAUCGCUGGAGUGCGGCAGAGGGGGAUGGAAUUCCGCGUGUAGCAGUGAAAUGCGUAGAUAUGCGGAGGAACACCGAUGGCGAAGGCAGCUCUCUGGGACGGUACUGACGCUGAGACGCGAAAGCGUGGGGAGCGAACAGG
rnacentral:rRNA from 1 species